ACUCUGUACUCAUCAUCUAACAUGUUCUGGCAUAGCUCACUUAUUUGUUUACUUAGACCAGAAGAAACAUCCAAAGAGUUGCACUCAGAAACCAGCUGUCUAGCAACUUUAACUUCUUGGUUCAGGACACCCAGGGAAUUUUUCAAGCUUUCUGCAUGGUGUAUGUCUUCUUUUGAUAGUCCUUUUAAUAUUAAUGAGACUUUCUCCAGCUUAAAAUGCAGGGGAAGAAGCCGGAAAAUAAAUUCGCCCUCAAGAUAUCGAGUGUUGCCAAACUCAAAUAAAUGAAAUAUAUAUAAUUCUACAGCUCAUUUUCUCACAAACCAGGCAAAGAGAAAUGGAGAAGCUGACC